GUAAAAACCCAGAGUGACUGUGUCUUAUGCGUGCACAAUACGAACGCGUUUUUCGCGUGACGAAUUCGUACACGCCAUAAUCAUAUUGACUCCUGCCCACUGACCUAUACAAGGCUAAUGCUCCUGCCGUGAAACAAAAUAUUAUAAAACGCAUGAACACACUAAUUGACUAAUAAACAUUUUCAAUUGUUCGUAAAUGGUAUGUUGAAACAGAGACAAAUAUGCCAAUAUAUAGUUAAACGUGAACAAGAAUCACGUAUAAUUAAAUACAUUACUGUUGCACAUUUAUUGUGUCUACAUUGAGUGAAAUACAGUGGCGUAGACAAGGGGGGCAAGGGGGGGCUCAGCCCCCCCCCCAAUAGGCUGAAGGACUGCCCUUGUAAAAAGAUGAAAUCCGGGUCGAAAUUGGGGGGGGGGGGACGAUGACUACCCAUGUGACUACCAAUCUCAUCUGUUCGCCAAAUUGUCUACAAAAGUUCUAGUCUUCCCUAAACCUAACUACAGAAAAUAAUGUCUACGGUGGUUAUUGGUAAAAAGGCG
rnacentral:lncRNA from 1 species